CGCAGAUGGAACAGCGAGGUGCCGCGCCGGCGUUCAGGAAGGUGCAGCGUCCGCAGGACCACUCGCUGCUUCGGACUGCUGCGGCCAUGGAGCCGGGAGAGUGAGAGUGGCUGUGAAACAUUAAAACAGCCUGCCUGUCUGAGGACUGCGAACAGCGAUGACGACAGCAGCGAGUGUCACCACCUCGUGUUUGAUGACAGCUUCCACCCUGUAACCCAUUUCAUGACUGUCAGCCGGCUUUAAUCUCACAAAAGAACGCCUACGAAUUCAACGAGUUUGUCUCAACAUGUAGUUCUCUGAAGUAUGCAAAUUGUGUUUUUGUGAAAGGAAAUCCAUCUCAAGACUUAGCCAUACUCUAAAUUCAAGAUCAUCUUCAAUAACAUUGAUGUCUAGAAGUUUCUUCUGUAUUCAGCUAGUCAAAUAACUAAUAUUACAACUUGUAUUUUACAAAACACUGACAAAUCAUGUCUCUAACAGUCUAUCGAGUGGUGCAGCAGAAGAUGAAGCACGGCAGCCUGUGAUCUCUAAACCCCAAUCAAAAGGAUGUUCUCCAUGCUCAUGCUCCCUUUUCCUCAAAGGAGUGCACACACCUUUUGUCCUUGGCCCUGUGCUCACUGGAGCUGCUCUAAAAGGCCCCACUUCAGCUUCUCACUAGAGCAGACCUGGGCAGCUGGCCAGCAGUUUACAAUGCAUACAGCUAUCCGUGCAGUUUUUCCUCCAUGCAGUCCAAAUUCACUUUAGAGGGAGAAAUAACUAAAAAAAAUACUGUUAUCCGACUAUGCAUACAUAAGAAAAGAUAUUAAUAUUCAUACAGAAAAAAACUUCAACAUAGUAAAGGAUACAUGAACCAUCAAAGAUAAAACUUCACAAUUUUUAAAUAAAAAACAAGUGCAAAAGUAGAGUAAAACAUUAAUAAAAAGUAACGAAAUUGUUAAUUAUAAAGUACUAACCAGCUGUUGUUUUCCUCUGAUUUAUUUUACAAACUGAACUCCACAAGAGAUCAAGAGAGCUGAACUGUGCCAGUUUGUCCCUGCCCGACUGUGAGAUAUUUGGCCUUUGUGCGACAGUCAUUAGCACUGCCAUUCUAAAGUUGGCUCUGAGCCCACAGCCUGAGGGAAACAUGCAGUUCCUUCCUUGACCAGAGGGGGCAGAGUGCUCCUGCUUGACUGAUUUUGACAAAGAAUUGGCGUAAAACCAGGGGAAACAAUAAAAUAAAGGAUUUACACCAAAGAAAUUGCUGAAUACCUAAAACAUUUAUUAUUUAGCUUUAAGUCUGUUUAAGAAGUUGGAAAUGUAAAAUCUGCAAGCUCCCUUAAAAUAAAAUUGUAUUUUUUAAAUAUUAAUAAUUUGAAUUAAAGAGAAGAUUGUAAGGUGUCAGAGAGUCAAAUAAAUGUCAAAUUUAUGUUAAGACACAGCUCUAAAGAACAAAAAUGACAAAAAAAAACUUGGAAAUUAGCAAUGUAGAGUCUCGUUUUGUCCAUAAUACUUAAUAUCUGACUCAAUACCAAAUCAAUUCAAUCAAAAUGUUUCAUCAGUAUGCAGCUGGAAGCUGUUUCUUAGACAGAAUAAAUGAGUCAGCAAACUGGUAGGGGAAAAAAGAGAGCGUUCCAACAAACUAAAGGACAGACUCAUACAGCAUGUACAGUACACGCAAAGACUUGCAAUUGUGCUGAAAACAGAAGUAUUUAUGCGGAUGGGAAACAAGAUAAACUAUCAUUAGGUUUUCAGUAAAACUAUGUACUAUUCUUAAAAAAUUGCUACAAAAUCCAAUAAUUUUAGAAUAUUAUGUAAAAUUGUAUUUACUUCAGAAAUUAAGCUUAAAAGUGAAACUCAAAACACAGAAACGGAAUCAGUUUACGUUUGUUUAUCCAUUGUUUACCGUUGAAGCCAAAACCUGUAACUCAGAACCAUGAAAGAUUAGAAUAUCAUGUAAAAAAGUUCAGGAUCAUUGAGGCUGGUGGUGUAGCACUCUAUCUCUAUAUCAAAAAAAUAAUUCAAACAUCUGCGGAUGUUUCCAAGUUUGAAAGUCCGCUUUGCGUCAUAAAAAUGGAUUAAACUCAACUGAUCCAAGAAAUGUGUUCAGAUCCACAUAACUGUUCCACAACAAGCUAAGCAGAGGCACCAAAAAAGCACAAGUUUAAGAAUGAACCAUAGAGGGUGCAAAUCAAUAAUCUAUUUACGUUGUGUUUAAAAAAAUGUAAGCAACAAUUUAACACAUUUAUAUCAACAAAAUUACUGUUUUUCCUGAUGGAAUUCUCCCUUAAAAAAAGAAUAUUACACUCCUAUUGCUUUUUCAAUGUGCUACAAUCAGUCCCAAACAAUUCAAACUAAGUAAGAUGAACGAAAAACAUUAGAAAAUUUAUUGGAGUUUUAAGAUAGUGCCUAAUGAGUUUAGUCAAUUGCAAAAUAUGUUUUGUUGUUUACCAACAUCUCCUAUUAGGAUUAGGCUUGUUAUGCACACUGAACAAGCGCAGCUUAUGAGAGAGUUGAACAAGUAAAUAUUACAUGAGAGCACAUUGUGUUACUGCGCUAUAGGAACCUUUUUAUAUGAGCUGCACAUUUAAAAUUGAUCAGAAUCUUUGUGCUGAUUUACAUUAUCAGCAGCAGAAAAGGGAAGUUUCCAGUUUAAAGUCUAUCCACAGCAAUCUUGUAACCUUUCACUGAUUUUUUUUUAUUUUUUUUCCUCCAUGAUGAAUUCUUUAAGAAGACCCCUCGAGGUCAGAAUCAGGGUCAGACAAUAGAUCUUAAGUGGGAAAGCCUCUUUCCAUUUUCCAAGUACUGCCUCAUGGCAUCAUAUGACUCAUCAAUAAGUACAGGUCUGGAAUGAAUUUAGAAGUCCACUCUUUAAAGGUGGAGGAGUAGCAACAGCCAAGCCUGAAAGCAGCAGAUAAAAAUGUGAUUUUGGAACAUUUCAACAUGCUGAAACGUGCAGCUGUGAAAGGAGGGGCGGUUUAGGGCGACGCCUCCAUGCCGACAUUGCUUUCCCAAGAAAGACCCAAAGCUAGACAAAACAAACUGAGAAGCAUUUGCAAAAAAAAAAUAAAUAUAAGCUUAUUUUUGGUUCUUAAUUCAUUCAAAUACAGAUAAUUGUUAUUUUUAAGCCAGUUUUAUCAACUUUAGGAUGAUCAAGGCCUUGAAAAACCAAAAAAAAAAGUGCUCCUUUUCCAUAAUCCACGCUCAUUUCUGACAGGUAAAUCUGUCAGGGCUGGAGACAACUUCAGACAUUUGAAUCAUUAAACAAGGGAAACUGUCUGGCUCGGGUUCAGCAGACUUUAGUGACAGAGCAACGCUGGAAGCUGGCAGAAAGCUGCAGAAACGGGGACGAGGUGCCAAAGGAGCUGCUCUGUGGCAGCUGCAAUAAUCUCCAUUUUUAGUUGGCUCUGAGAACGACGGGCGUGUUUUACGUGAAGUGUGAAAACGAUAUAUUUUCUCUAAAAGGUGCCACUCGCUUCCAUUGUUUCCUUCAUACGCUGAAAACAAUGGAGGCGGCCUUUUACAUGUGAGGCUGCCAGGUUCAAAUGUGUGGUCUUAUCUGGGGCCUGAUGGAAUUAGGUUACUGAGCAUAUGCUACAGAUUUCCAUGGCAACAAGAGUGGGGAAAUCUGGAAUCAUGUCAGCCGCAGUGCCAACAGGCAAUUUAUUUAUUUAUUCAUUUAUUUAUUGCUCUGCAACAACAGCUCUGUUUUCUCAAAGGAAGCUUCACUGCUAGAGGAAACCUUAAUGUGAACAAAUUCUAGAGGAUUUGCAAACUGUCCUGACACCGAGCCUGUUUAUUCAAAACGGCAGCAGCAGCAGCGAGGGGAGACAUGCCGAAGUGAAAUGGACAUAAACACAGCCAGUGACAAUGCUUGUUGAGUCCGAGUGGACUGGUUUUAAUCCAAUUAAAGAGAAGAGGGCCGGUGGAAUGGAGCUGCGAUAAACGGAGUCAUCCAUCAUGCUGGGACGGUAGAGACGCUGGGAUCCGCUUUGCAGAGCUUCUUGAGGCUUAAAAGCCCCAAGAUGCUCAAGGCCACAAAAACACAAUGGUAACACAAGGAUGAACAAAUAAAUAAAGCAAAGUGACAUCGCUGAGUGAAUGCUUUGAGUCUCCAAAGCUUUUAGACAGGGCGGCUAACGGGCUACAUUUCUGUGCUUAAUAAGAACGAUUUUUCAUAAGUAAUCUUUCAUAGUUGCUUUUACUAAUUCAUGGCACCCUAACACUUCCCUGAAGCUAUGACUGGAGCGACACAAAAAGACAUCUCUGCAUAUGAAUCCUCAACGAUAAAAAAAUGAUUUAAAAAAGGAGGGGGGUUUAACAUCUUUGAAAAUAGAUGAGAACGUCUGAAAAAAAGGGGGGCGUCCAGUGUUCUGUUGUCUGUUUUCAUGCUCAAGUCUGCAAAGCUUGGCGUCCACGGCCAGAAUUAUGCAGCUGUGUAUGUGCGGAAGAUGGAAUGUGUGUUAGUUGGGGUGAAAAGUGAUAGAAGAUAGGUUCCAAGUGCUUUCCUUCAGUUUUUCUACAGCAUCUGAUGUCAGUUUAUGUUCGCAUAAGCGUCCCUUUAUGACUUCCAGCAGCAGGUACAAAUGGACUGUAAUAGUCUGUUUAUCCGAGCAAAUGCUCUCAGCUGACUGAGGGUGUGGACAGCUUGGCAAUAGAGGAAUAGUUGCUGGAAAGAAGCACAAAUAAUGAAAAACCACAACUAAAUACAGCAAAGAUACUAGGGUUUCAUUUAUGUACUGAUUGGUGCAUAAUGGGAACUGAACAGAGUGACUCCGCCCCCCUCGGGUUCCAAACAGGAAGUACCCACUGGUUCCAAGAAGUCGCAAUCCCAUGGACUUCAAUGGAGAAAUAAAAAGCUAUUAUGGAGUUAUUUGUCAACUUGUCCUGUUACCUUUUUUUAUUUUUCUGACAUUCAAGUUAUAAACUGACCAAUCAGAAACGUUAAUAAAAGUAUGUGGUCUUACAUCGAAUGUUCAAUGUCCGCUUUCAAGUGGUAGGGGUAUGGACUUCCAAGAAGCACACUCCUGAUUGGUGAGAAUAGAAAUAUUUGAGACCGACUUGGACCAAUCACAGAUUACUGACGAUUUCUGGUUCCAACACAGCAAUGAUGGAGCUGAAUGUAAGCCAUUUUCAAUGGGUGACAUCUCACUCCCUUGGUCCAUAUACAGUUAAUGAUUGGGACACAGGGCUAAAAAAAACUGCAUUGUUUACAUUUCAAAAUAUAGGCAGCAAAAGGUAGCAGAAGCCAAGACAACUUUAAGGGUGAUAAUGUAGAGCAAACAGAAGGCAGCCAUCGACAACCGUCGGCAGGAAUCAAGAAAGAUGAAAGCCCAACUGGAGACUGAUGCUGAAUAAAUAACGACAUCCACAGUGGGGGAAAUGUGAUCGGGCCCUCUGAAAAUCAAUAACAACCAGACCAUGAUGGCCUGAGUGACUCAGCAACAACUUCAAUACACUUCAGACGGUCGAUAUCACCUGCCUGUUAUUGUUCCAGGAGACAUGCCCCCCCCCAAAAAAGCAAGAGAGCGUGGAAAGGACCGAAAACAAAUAGAAGAAAGCUUCAUGAAGAACGAUGGGGAGGAUCUGCUGUAAAUAAGGCAGUAAAAAACACUGCAUGAGUCCUAUGAAGCAGGUUCUUUGGACGUACUGGCAAUGACUCACAGGGCGAUUACAGGAACCUACCAUGGCAUACUUGUUUCUCUAUUUUUCCUUACAUAAAUAAAAACUGUCAUUACCAAGGAAGUCUACUUAGAAGCAGAGUGUUGAUUCAAUAAAACACGACAAACCACAUAGCUGCUAAGUGCGCUGUAAGAAAAAAACAUUACAACAUUGAGGGUUCGUGUUUAUCAGUUUGCAGUUUCACCGACUCGUUUUGCAAGUCUGAGAAAUGACAACAACUGCUGAUAACAGGAUUUAUGGGCGUUUUCUAGAAAUUGAAAGAAAUAGGAACUUGUAGCUAAGCCUAAUUGAAAAA